rnacentral:tRNA from 1 species
GAGGGUAUAGCUCAGUGGUAGAGUGCACGCCUAGUAUGACGAGGUACUGGGGUCAAUCCCCAGUACCUCCA